AUUGCAUCCAACUCCUGGCUCGCUGUCAGCACGCACUGCACACUCCUGACACACACCAGCACUUGCACACCUGCACGCACCACUGCACACACCAGCACCAACCAAGGCACAGCUGCACACGGCAGCAUGCACAGCCCCACACAAGCACACGCAGCUGCACGAGCGCUGCACGCUCACAGCUGCACACAAAUGUUCCGGCACAGAUGAGAGGGAAGAAGUCUGUGCACACAUCUGAAGGCGCACACACGUGUGCACACACAGGUGGUGCACACGUGGGUGCACACACACACCCCGCCAUGCACUGCCCGCGCAGCCCCCAGCCCCGGCUGCGAUGUUGGGUUGCAGAAAAUGCUCACUCUGAGUGGCCCCGAGGGUCGGGAAACCCGAAAUGGGCACCUUUGAGGCCAGUGUGGAGGCAGCAGACACUUCUGUGUCGGCGUCAGAUUUUUUCUGAAGCAGUUCCCAUGGAAAAGGAAACUCCCGAUCUCCUGUGAUCGCGUACGACAGAUGAUCCUCUUGUUUUGCAUGUGAAAAAAAUCGUCUGAGAUUUACAGCCCUCCCAAACGGAGAUAAAGCCUUGGCAAUGAGUUGGAAACCUGUUGUAAUCUGUGAUCCAGGAAACAAAGAGCCUCAUUAAUGCAGAGACUUUGGUUUUCGUUCAUUUAAUAGGAGCAGUUUGGAUUACUCUCUCUGGACACACUUCAUCCUCUCCUACAUGCCUAUUUAGUGCAAGGACCACAUCUACCACUGGCAGGCUGAACAUCCCCAUCUGCCUUCCUAUCUCAUUGCAUCCGGAGCCGAUACAUUUCC
ensembl:lncRNA